GUGGCGUGCUUGACGUGCAUGAGCCGUGUCUGGCCGAAAGUGAUUUGUAAGCAGUUCUGGUUGAACGUUCUCUAGGUUGAAAAAUGUCUCGAUAUCGUGAAUGGGAUCUAUCUUGCAAGGUUUAUGUUGGUAAUUUAGGCAGUAGCGCUAGCAAACAUGAGAUUGAAAGCGCAUUCAGUAAGUAUGGUCCAUUAAGAAAUGUAUGGGUAGCCCGAAAUCCUCCUGGCUUUGCAUUUGUGGAGUUUGAAGACCCGCGGGACGCUGAAGACGCUGUAAGAGGAUUGGAUGGAACACGAUGUUGUGGCACCAGAGUAAGAGUUGAGAUGUCCUCUGGGAGAAGUCGCCGUGGUGGUGGCGGUCGCAGACCUGGUCCUCGUUAUUCUAGAUUCUACCAGCGUCAGCUCCUAGCUCUGCUCGUCUCCCCGCCACUACUACUACCACUACUUCUACUACUACUACUACUACCACUACUGCUACUACUACUUCUACAGCCGCCGUGAAAAAAGCGUAUUAUUACGCGUAUAAAAAAAAACAAAUCGUCAGUCUCGCAAUCGUCAAUCGAACAAAACUGAACAAAAAAUAUGCCUGCCUGCCCACUAACUUCCCAACCAAGUCACCAUCAGUCACCACCAAGUCACCGAGUAUAUAGGAAGCCGUCCGUACGUCUGUCACGUCACGUCACGUCACGUCACGUCGCCCGUCGAUGUUGUGCAUUGUGGUGUUGCGAUGUGCACACAGCACACAAUGGCGCAACAACCGAAAACAACAGUUUCCGUGCGCCGUCACCGCUGCCAGAGUAUCGCCAAUGCCCGAGACUGCCACCUUCAGAAAAAAAAGAAAAAAGAGCCAAAAACAUUGCUUUUUUUCCGUUGCUGUCCCUCUCCCCCAUCCGUCAUCGUGCACCGCAAAAAACCGUCUUGAACCGAAAAAAAAUUGUCCGUCGCUCCACUACGGAACUCUCCCCUUCGAUCACCAUUACUACUACUACUACUACUACUCUUCCACCAACCACCAACCACCACCACCAACCACCAACCACCAAUCGACCAAUCAACCGGAUCUUGUGAUCCGCCUUCUUCAACUCUUCGUCUCAGCUUUAGGGGGACGGCGGCACACAUCGAAUCAAUCGUCAAAAACAAAAUUUGCCACCGUAAGAAAAAAUAUUACCCACAACUGGCAACCACCACCAGUUUGUGACCAUCACCAAUCGCGAUGCAAAUUAUUAAAAAAUAAUAAAAGAAAUCGUCAUACAGUAAUUCUGUAAUCCACCGGCGCGUCUCUUCAUUUGACUACGAUCGACUGUCUUCCCGACUGUUCGUCGUUUCGAGACCGACGUUUCUAUUCUGCCACUACUACUAGUAUUACUGCUACUGCUACUUCUACCACUACUGCUACUGCCACUACUCGUCGACAUCACUUAGGAACGUGUGUUAUCCGCAACAACAUCUGAGCGCGUGAGAGUUGCCGCCGAGAGAUCUUCUCGACCUUCGACUCCUCGAACGAAAUGAUCACGCAAAAUAAGCGAAAUGAUCACCUACUACACACCAUCCCACCACCACCCACCAACCACCUGUACAUGUUCACAUUGAUCCAGAUCACGCAGUCCUCGCAGAAGAUCAUUGACCCGGAGCCGCAGCCGAGAUCGCCGCUCACGUUCGGAUUCCCG